rnacentral:rRNA from 1 species
UCCGUAGGCGGUGUGGCAAGUCGGUAGUGAAAUCUCUCGGCUUAACUGAGAGGCUGCUGCCGAAACUGCCAUGCUCGAGUGCGAGAGAGGCGAGUGGAAUUGCGGGUGUAGCGGUGAAAUGCGUAGAUAUCCGCAGGAACAUCAGAGGCGAAAGCGGCUCGCUGGAUCGCAACUGACGCUGAGGGACGAAAGCUAGGGGAGCAAACAGGAUUAGAUACCCUGGUAGUCCUAGCCCUAAACCAUCAGGACUUGGGGUUUGCCCUGUACGGGGCAAGUCCCGGAGCUAACGCGUUAAGUCCUGCGCCUGGGGAGUACGGUCGCAAGGCUGAA